GUGGACCACUCGUACACGCCGGUUCCCCGCGCCGUCCGCACCCGCCUGACGGAUGCUCGCCAAGCGGCUCCGAGCUGUUUACG
rnacentral:sRNA from 1 species